CCGGGCGUUAAGUUGCAGGGUAUAGACCCGAAACCCGGUGAUCUAGCCAUGGGCAGGUUGAAGGUUGGGUAACACUAACUGGAGGACCGAACCGACUAAUGUUGAAAAAUUAGCGGAUGACCUGUGGCUGGGGGUGAAAGGCCAAUCAAACCGGGAGAUAGCUGGUUCUCCCCGAAAGCUAUUUAGGUAGCGCCUCGUGAAUUCAUCUCCGGGGGUAGAGCACUGUUUCGGCUAGGGGGCCAUCCCGGCUUACCAACCCGAUGCAAACUGCGAAUACCGGAGAAUGUUAUCACGGGAGACACACGGCGGGUGCUAACGUCCGUCGUGAAGAGGGAAACAACCCAGACCGCCAGCUAAGGUCCCAAAGUCAUGGUUAAGUGGGAAACGAUGUGGGAAGGCCCAGACAGCCAGGAUGUUGGCUUAGAAGCAGCCAUCAUUUAAAGAAAGCGUAAUAGCUCACUGGUCGAGUCGGCCUGCGCGGAAGAUGUAACGGGGCUAAACCAUG
rnacentral:rRNA from 1 species